rnacentral:rRNA from 1 species
CCUACGGUGUGCUGCAGUAGGGAAUUUUCGUCAAUGGGCGCAAGCCUGAACGAGCAAUGCCGCGUGAACGAGGAAGGUCUUCGGAUCGUAAAGUUCUGUUGAAGGGGAAAAAGAGCGGAGAGAGGAAAUGGUCUCCGAUUGAUAUUACCCUUCGAGGAAGUCACGGCUAACUACGUGCCAGCAGCCGCGGUAAUACGUAGGUGGCGAGCGUUAUCCGGAAUGAUUGGGCGUAAAGGGUGCGUAGGCUGCCUGCUAAGUCUGGAGUGAAAGGUACCGGCUCAACCGGUACAGGCGCUGGAAAGUGGCGGGGUAGAGAGCGGGAGGGGGCGGUGGAACACCAUGGGUAGCGGUAAGAUGAGUAGAUGUAUGGAAGAACACCAGUGGAGAAGGCGGCCGCCUGGCAUGUUACUGACGCU